rnacentral:rRNA from 1 species
GCUAAUCCCACUAAAGAGUCCCUAUCAAUAGUGGGGAUUGGCACCUCGAUGUUGGCUUAGGGUAUCUUUACGGCGCAAAAGUCGUAAACAGAUAGUUUGUUCAACUAGUAAAUCCCUACAUGAGCUGAGUUCAGACCGGCGCAAGCCAGGUUAGCUUCUAUCCUCAAUUAUCAAGACCUACUUACAGUACGAAAGGACCUAAAUACGGAUAAUAAUUAUAAUAAUAGAAUAAAUAUAACAAAAUUUAAAUAACCACAAUAGCACACUACU